UGCAAGUGAUGUCUUUUCUCAUGAUGAUGUAUGGAUGCCUCUGUGGGCAGUGCCAAAGGCUCAUCAGAUACCAGGAG
ensembl:snoRNA